rnacentral:rRNA from 1 species
UUGCCUACGGGUGGCUGCAGUGGGGAAUAUUGGACAAUGGGCGCAAGCCUGAUCCAGCCAUGCCGCGUGAGUGAUGAAGGUCUUAGGAUUGUAAAGCUCUUUCACCGGAGAAGAUAAUGACGGUAUCCGGAGAAGAAGCCCCGGCUAACUUCGUGCCAGCAGCCGCGGUAAUACGAAGGGGGCUAGCGUUGUUCGGAAUUACUGGGCGUAAAGCGCACGUAGGCGGAUAUUUAAGUCAGGGGUGAAAUCCCAGAGCUCAACUCUGGAACUGCCUUUGAUACUGGGUAUCUAGAGUAUGGAAGAGGUGAGUGGAAUUCCGAGUGUAGAGGUGAAAUUCGUAGAUAUUCGGAGGAACACCAGUGGCGAAGGCGGCUCACUGGUCCAUUACUGACGCUGAGGUGCGAAAGCGUGGGGAGCAAACAGGAUUAGAUACCCGAGUAGUCA